rnacentral:rRNA from 1 species
UACCAGCUCUCCGAGUGGUAGGGAUGAUUAUUGGGCUUAAAGCGUCCGUAGCCGGCUUGGCAAGUUUCCUGUUAAACUCUGCGACUUAAUCGUUGAAUCGCGGGAAAUACUACUAGGCUAGGAGGCGGGAGAGGUCAACGGUACUUCUGGGGUAGGGGUGAAAUCCUAUAAUCCCGGGAGAACCACCAGUGGCGAAGGCUGUUGACUAGAACGCGCUCGACGGUGAGGGACGAAAGCUGGGGGAGCGAACCGGAUUAGAUACCCGGGUAGUCCCAGCUGUAAACGAUGCGGGCUAGGUGUUGGGAUGGCUACGUGCCAUUUCAGUGCCGCAGGGAAGCCAUUAAGCCCGCCGCCUGGGGAGUACGGCCGCAAGGCUGAACUUAAGGAAUUGGCGGGGGAGCACCACAAGGCGUGAAGCUUGCGGUUC